CACUGACACACACAACAAUCUUCAUCAACAUGACCUUCAUCAUCAUCUUCAUCUGGACUCUCACAGCGUUUGCUCAAGAGAGUAGAGGACAGAUCAGCGUCACUCAGAGUCCCUCAACGACAGCAGCUCAACCAGAAGAAACAGUCAAAAUCAACUGUAGAACCAGCACAGAUGUAGCAGAAUAUAGUGCGCCACGUUACUAUUUAAGCUGGUAUUUACAGAAACCUGGAGAAGCUCCUAAACUCCUGAUUUAUCUAACAAUAGACCGUUACAGUGGAACUCCAUCUAGAUUCAGUGGCAGUGGAUCUAACAGUGAUUUCACUCUGACCAUCAGUGGAGUCCAGACUGAAGAUGCUGGACAUUAUUACUGUCAGAGUGCUCACUAUAUCAGCAGUAGCUGGGUGUUCACACAGUGAUAAAGAGUGGUACAAAAACCUCCGUCAGUCAGAGUCACAGUGAUGAACUGAUGCUGCAGCUGCUCAAACACUAUCACACACUACUGACACACAGAGACCAAACACAGAACUACA